rnacentral:miRNA from 1 species
UAGCUGAUAAGACGAUAGUGGC